GUAACGGCGAGUGAAGCGGCAACAGCUCAAAUUUGAAAUCUGGCCCCCAGGGCCCGAGUUGUAAUUUGCAGAGGAUGCUUUUGGCGCGGUGCCUUCCGAGUUCCCUGGAACGGGACGCCAUAGAGGGUGAGAGCCCCGUCUGGUCGGACACCAAGCCAGUGUAAAGCUCCUUCGACGAGUCGAGUAGUUUGGGAAUGCUGCUCUAAAUGGGAGGUAUAUGUCUUCUAAAGCUAAAUACCGGCCAGAGACCGAUAGCGCACAAGUAGAGUGAUCGAAAGAUGAAAAGCACUUUGAAAAGAGGGUUAAACAGUACGUGAAAUUGUUGAAAGGGAAGCGUUUGUGACCAGACUUGGGCCCGGUGAAUCAUCCAGCGUUCUCGCUGGUGCACUUCGCCGGGCCCAGGCCAGCAUCAGUUCGCCGCGGGGGAUAAAAGCUUCGGGAACGUGGCUCCCUCGGGAGUGUUAUAGCCCGUUGCAUAAUACCCUGCGGCGGACUGAGGUUCGCGCUCCGCAAGGAUGCUGGCGUAAUGGUCAUCAGCGACCCGUCUUGAAACACGGACCAAGGAGUCGUCUUCGUAUGCGAGUGUUCGGGUGUCAAACCCCUACGCGUAAUGAAAGUGAACGCAGGUGAGAGCUUCGGCGCAUCAUCGACCGAUCCUGAUGUUCUCGGAUGGAUUUGAGUAAGAGCAUACGGGGCCGGACCCGAAAGAAGGUGAACUAUGCCUGUAUAGGGUGAAGCCAGAGGAAACUCUGGUGGAGGCUCGCAGCGGUUCUGACGUGCAAAUCGAUCGUCAAAUAUGGG
rnacentral:rRNA from 1 species